rnacentral:rRNA from 1 species
AUUGAACGCUGGCGGCAUGCCUUACACAUGCAAGUCGAACGGUAACAGGUCUUCGGAUGCUGACGAGUGGCGAACGGGUGAGUAAUACAUCGGAACGUGCCCGAUCGUGGGGGAUAACGAAGCGAAAGCUUUGCUAAUACCGCAUAAGAUCUACGGAUGAAAGCGGGGGAUCGCAAGACCUCGCGCGAUUGGAGCGGCCGAUAUCAGAUUAGGUUGUUGGUGAGGUAAAAGCUCACCAAGCCUGCGAUCUGUAGCUGGUCUGAGAGGACGACCAGCCACACUGGAACUGAGACACGGUCCAGACUCCUACGGGAGGCAGCAGUAGGGAAUUUUGGACAAUGGACGCAAGUCUGAUCCAGCAAUGCCGCGUGCAGGACGAAGGCCUUCGGGUUGUAAACUGCUUUUGUACGGAACGAAACGGUGAGCUCUAAUAUAGUUUGCUAAUGACGGUACCGUAAGAAUAAGCACCGGCUAACUACGUGCCAGCCGCCGCAGUAA